CACUUGAAUUCGGACAGAUCGAGCUCAUUUUGGUGAAGCAGGACCAGCAUGUUUAUUUUAUUGUUACACUUCAUGAUGUGUCCUAUAUGCCAGAAUUUGUAUUGUAUGAAGUGAAACAAGCAAGGCAGAGCAUGAGGUGCUGGAAACCUGGGCUGAGACUAGAUUAUUAUCCUUUACCUGUGUACAAGCUGUGUGGGACAAGAGUAAUUUCAUUUAAGCAUAGCAUUCUUGACUCAGAGUAAAGAUCGAGUUUUUGACAUUUUACACUCAUGCUUCAAAAACCAGUCUCUCAUCCCUUCUAGUCCUCCUAGUCAUGGAUACAGAAAGUCCGCUUCUGUCCUUCAUCAAGUCAAGUCUACCAAAACUGAAAGACCUUGAGCCUUUGCUUGAGCUUCUACAAGAUUUAGGAGUUGAGGGACUGGAGGACCUGAGCUAUCUGCAGGAAAGUGAACGCCUACCUGUCCUGCGGCCAGCUGAAGUCAGAAAACUUCUCUCACAGCUUAAAAAGACAAGCCAUCAAGGUGUGUUUCACAGUCCUCCAAGCAACCAACAGUUCAGCAGAGCUAGUACCAGUACAAGUCCAGUAACACGGUCUGACGAGAUGCUCAUGUCUGGUGAUCCAGGUGAUUGUUAUAUAUGUGUAUUUUUUGUCCACCCACCUCUUUUUUGUUUUGUGCCCUUUAUCACCGUUCCUCUUCCCUGCUGUUUUUCUUUCCCUUCCUCUCUUUCUUUCUCCCUUUCCUUUCCCCCAGUCAUGUCUGUCCAGUAUGUAACAACCAGAGGUCUCCACUUCAUCAGACAUAACCUAGACUCAGAGCUGGAUGAGGUGAGGACAAACAGCAGCCUAUUCGACGAAGAUGAUGGAUCCAUGGGGUCAGGAAAGCCAGAAGCAGGGGAGCUGGAGAGGUACCUUUCAUGUCCAUUCACUGGAGGUGUGGAUAUAUUGCAUGGCUUUCCUCACAUAAAGAAGCUGUCGAUCAAAAUCAAUACAGCUCUUCCUGCAUCUGGAGCUUGUGAAGGACUUCUUAGUCAUGCAGGACUCCUGGUUACUGCUAAACAGUUACAGCUUCACAGCAAGAACCUUGAGAGCAAACUGCUGCUAAAGCUUAACCAUCACCUCACUGAGUGAAGAAAUGGCACAUUUUUGCUAAUUAUGCAAAAAUAGAUGCACACCCAUACAACUUAUGGUAAACUGAGCUGCCUUGUAUGUACUUAUGUUGAAGAUGCCUCGUUCUAAUGUUUUCUCUGAGGCUGCUGUGCCAUUUGGAGCAAACAUGAAUAUAAAGUUUACAGCAUAUCUUGUCACUGGAAAUUGUUUGCACUGUUUAUAUAUUUAUAUUAUUUACUGUAGGUAUUGGUGAAAAAAGCUUUAUGUUGUGAAAAACUGAAAUCUGGAAAUUAGAAUUGUUGUGCCUUAUUUUGUUGAUGUUUUUACAUACAGGGAGUGCAGAAUUAUUAGGCAAGUUGUAUUUUUGAGGAAUAAUUUUAUUAUUG
ensembl:lncRNA